CCCCAGAUGUUGCUGAACUACAACUCCCAUGAUUCUUUGAAUUACAUAGAUAGCGAGAGAUACAUGGGAGUUGUAGUUCAGCAACAUCUGGGG